rnacentral:rRNA from 1 species
UACGUAGGGUGCAAGCGUUUAAUUCGGGAAUUACUGGGCGUAAAGCGUGCGCAGGCGGUUUUUGUAAGUCUGUCGUGAAAUCCCCCGGGCUUUAACCUGGGAAUUGCGAUGGAGACUGCAAGGCUAGAAUCUGGCAGAGGGGGGGUAGAAUUCCACGUGUAGCAGUGAAAAUGCGUAGAGAUGUGGAGGAACACCGAUGGCGAAGGCAGCCCCCUGGGUCAAGAUUGACGCUCAUGCA